AUUGAACGCUGGCGGCAUGCCUUACACAUGCAAGUCGAACGGUAACAGGUCUUCGGAUGCUGACGAGUGGCGAACGGGUGAGUGAUACAUCGGAACGUGCCUAGUAGUGGGGGAUAACUACUCGAAAGAGUGGCUAAUACCGCAUGAGAUCUACGGAUGAAAGCAGGGGAUCGCAAGACCUUGUGCUACUAGAGCGGCCGAUGGCGGAUUAGGUAGUUGGUGGGAUAAAAGCUUACCAAGACGACGAUCUGUAGCUGGUCUGAGAGGACGAUCAGCCACACUGGGACUGAGACACGGCCCAGACUCCUACGGGAGGCAGCAGUGGGGAAUUUUGGACAAUGGGCGCAAGCCUGAUCCAGCAAUGCCGCGUGCAGGAUGAAGGCCUUCGGGUUGUAAACUGCUUUUGUACGGAACGAAAAGCCCCGGGUUAAUACCCUGGGGUCAUGACGGUACCGUAAGAAUAAGCACCGGCUAACUACGUGCCAGCCGCCGCCGUAA
rnacentral:rRNA from 1 species